rnacentral:lncRNA from 1 species
GAGGCGUUUCACAUGCGUUUUGGAGGUCACGAUUUCCGGGAGGCGUUUCACAUGCGUUUUGGACUGGCAUUGAGAUGAGAUCAGAAAAUGUUCGUGGUAUAGAAAUAGGCUUUUCUCUCUUUAGAUUAGAUUCCUUCGGGACGACGCAACCUGGGAAUCGGGAAUUAAUAUUUCCGUUGACGACGCGGUACUACUACCAAAGAACGGCUCUCCUCUGACCCAAGAUUAUCAACCAGCUUAAUUACAGUACUAAUUACGUAGAUGCUCACGCACUAACUGUUUAUAGUAUACUUACCAAAAACAGUUGCAAAUUGCAUGAAGAAUGGCUCUCGUCCCACCGGAGAUUCUCGAUCAGAUUGGUUACAGUACAGUACUAAUUAUUUAGAUGCCCGCGCACUAAACUGUCAGUAUAUACUCCUAUUUUAACAGUUGAAAAUUGCGUGCAUGGUUGGGCAUUUCGAAUUAAUUCGCGUAAUGUUUCAUUAUGCCGGCCAUAGGCAUAUACUUGUUGCAAAUGCUGCCAGUAUAUUAUGCAGCUACUUUAUCCUGCCUUGGAUGUUCUGUCUCAUGAUUCCCUUGUUGACAUUUUGUUUGCGACAGCCUGGCCGCCCUUUGCUGCUGCUGUCUCCUGGACGCCUGCUUCUGAGGAGGGAGGAGGAAAGACGACGAUCAACUUCGUGGAACUGGGACUGAGCUAUCCUCUCUGACGGAGAAAUGCUGCUAGUAGCUUAAUUAUUAUUUCUCGUCGGGCAUUAUCGCCUCCUUUGUUUGAUCCAUGUUUAUGAACCUCUCUGCAUUGCAACUAUUCGCUUGGUUGUCGACUGAUGAUUAUAUUAUGCCUGGUGCCUUCCGUGUGUAUAUUCUAUAUUGUGUCGGUUUAUCUCUGUCUCUGGUGGUGGAAUCCAACUCGCGGUUGUGGUGUCCAAAUUGAUUUUUCUGGCACGUCUCCAUCGAUACUCGCGGUUUAGCCGUCGGGUUGAGUCUGAGGUUUCGACUGGACUGUACUUUAACCGAUUCUUCCAAUCUCGCCCCGCAGAGCCCGCAGGAAUUCUUGACGUGCUAUACUUGUUGGAAGUAUUAAGGACGUUGUAGGUCUUUUUCUAGCGUUUUACAUUGGGUGAUUCUUUAUAUUUUGUGAUUGUUUGCCUGCAAUCACCAGAGACACCCACUCCCUCGCAUGUAUUCGUCCCAACACUUCCUAUCCAACCGUCUUUAUGGUAAGUUUCCAUAAGCAAAGGGAUGAUGGGAGCACCAUCUAUUCAAAGUGUCGAGGCUAAGCAAAGCACGCCAUGUAUACAGGCACAGGUCGACGUGUAAUCCCUCUUAUCUAUUACUUGAUGAUGACAUUUUGUUUUAGAUUCUCACACUGAUGAUGACAUUACGUUGCCUAAUUCCAUAUCGUGUGUGCGUCACGCCCAACAAUGAAGGCACCCACCACCUUGGGCAGCACAGUACAGUGCACCAGCAUAUGCAUGUGCUCCGGGUCUUUAAGAUGGAAUAUAUCCAACCAUGAAAUUUAUUCCUCUCCGGCUAGCUGCCGGCUCGAAAGGAUGCGUGCUGCCAACUGCAAGCUAAUUUCGGCAUGCAGGCAUGCAUGUGCGGUGCAUAUCAGCAUCUGAUAAGUUGGCAAACCUCCACGCGAAGUAUUCCAUUUGAUUUGUUCUCCGGAGCAGCGACACAUCGAAACGCCUUUUGCUUCUCAAUCCAGGCAAAAGGAAAUCAUCAUCAUCAUAAGAAUAAAACAUCGCAGGAAUCAAGCAUCAGGCUCACUUUUUCAAGCUUUUACUACCUCUGUUCCUAAAUAUAAGCUGCUUUGGCAAUUCACACGGAGGGUGUACAUCGAAAUCAAGGUGGAAGCAAAAGAAAGAAAACCGCCACCAAGAGCGCAUACUUUCCGUUACCAUUUUCUUUUCAUAUACUUCCUCCGUCCCAUAAUGUAAAAUGUUUUUUGACAUUAGUGUAGUGUCAAAAAACGUCUUACAUUAUGAAACAGAGGGAGUAGUUCUUAAGAGAUGUAAAAUGUUUUUUGACAUUAGUGUAGUGUCAAAAAAUGUCUUACAUUAUGAAACAGAGGGAGUAGUUCUUAAGAGAUGUAAAAUGUUUUUUGACAUUAGUGUAGUGUCAAAAAACGUCUUACAUUAUGGAACAGAGGGAGUAGUUCUUAAGAGAUGUAAAAUAUUUUUUGACAUUAGUGUAGUGUCAAAAAACGUCUUACAUUAUGGUACAGAGGGAGUAGUUCUUAAGAGAUGUGUAGAGUACGUCCCAUAAGUGAACAGGCCGACUCAAUCAGGGGGGUAGCACAUGCACACCUCCAUUUGGCAUCAUCAAUUGCUUUUCCAGGGAAGCAUCAUUAUAUCGCAUGCAGAUGGUUUCUGUAUAGAAAUUCCUCUGAUAUUUGUUUUCUGUUGUGUCACAAAGUGUCCUUUUUACAUCCAUAAGUAAAAGAAAAUUUUAGAGCCGCUAUCACAGGCUGCAGUUAUAUUUCCAUCUGAAAUUACAACUAACAUAUAUAAAAGCCUCGAUGUAACCAGUGCAGAUAUCUCGUCUGUCUCUCACCAAAUUCUUCGGAAGUCCUAUCAUCUGCCAGCAAAAUUGUUGACAGGGACACCAGCAUGCUUUGGCUGGAGCUGCUUUAUAUAAUAUUUUGAUCCACGUGACAGAUUGAUGCGUUUUCUUCUCUGCUCAGGAAUAGAUUCAAUCGAACACUCUGAGAAGCCACGUCGCACAAACCUGCAUCGUUUCAAAUUAAGCACAAGCAAACAUAUGAAAAGCUGAAUCAAUGUCUAUUUCCCAUGUGAUUGAUCAUUGCACUUCAACAUUCUGGACUCUGGAGUGUGUAACAGGUCGAAAGGGCUCUCCCAACAAGUUUUUUUCUAGGUCAGAGAGAAACAAUACAACCGCAUGCGCUAUGAUACAAGUACAAGCUCUCCAGUAGAACAGAUUGUUUCUUCACCAAAGUUUUAACCUCGCCAAUAGAUUUUGGUGGACUGAAUUUACAAACAACAGUGGCCUCAAACAGCAUGUUUGGUUGUUCCAUGCAACUAGUGUUAGCAACAAUGUUAUUUUUUGUUGCAGAAACAACUUUAUUCUCUCAUAUUCUCUCGUCUACAUGAACAAAAUGCUAAAGUGGCACCCUCUAAGAAAUGGUUGCAGUGUGCCAUUAGAGAUGUCCUAGUGAAAUCAUGUGAAAGAAAUUGACAAAUCUACACCCAAGAAAGACCAUGAAACUUCACUUAGACCACGGGAAGCUUUCUCUAUGAAACUUGGGAUUUAACAGAGCCUAGUGCAUUGAAUAUCUCUAAGACUGGCAUGAUAUUUGAACUAGAGCUAACUGACAACUUAAUGUCUGCACUAAGAUAAUAGAGAGGUCACCCAUUUUGUCCUUAGUCAUGGGAUAUGAAACCUGCUAUAUAUACGCCAAGAGGAGGAUAUAGGUACAUACCAAUCGGCUGUCCGUGUAGUAAGCAAGAAUAGUCUGCCAAGACCAAAGGAUAAUGCCUCCUUCUCAAUGUAAUCUGAAGCAUAACCACAACCACAAGUAAAAAAGUGUGCAAUAUCAUUAAUAGUAGAAACUAACACCGACAUGUGGGAGCUCUUUUAAUGUUUCUGAGAACACGAGAGAAAAAUCGCCCAAUUAACAUUCUGAUUUCUGGCCAUCACCAUCAGAUGGUUAGUAGCAGAUUUGCUAGUUAAACUCCAUCAUCACCAUUUUCUUUUAUGGUUUUUUCUCCAUCAUUUUAAUCAGAUUUCUGGCUUUCAUCAUCAGAUGGUUAGUAGUACACUAGCUAGUUAAAAAGGGACUCCCUCACCACCAUAUUCUUUGAUGUGGUUUCUUUUCUAUCUUUUUAAUCCUUUUGAGUUGGUAUAUGUGUACGGCAAAUGAGUGAACUGGGCACACUGAAACAUGUGCGAAAAAACUACAGCUCGAACAGGAAUUGCAACAACCAAUCAUAAAUAGCAAAUCCCGCUAAGUCAGCGCUGUCGCUAACAGUUUUGUUUUUAUGAAAUGACACCCCAAUUUGUUUUGAAAACCAGUCAACUGCAUACCUCGACAUGGAUCCAUGAAUUUUAAGAUUAAACAUAUCGAUGUAAAACAUUGCGAAUGUUAAAGAUUGGGCUACGGAACAUUGUCAAGCAGAAACAAAUUUGUGUUAACCCUGUAUUUCUUAGCUAUAGCACAGUUCAAGACCACCAGACGUACACUAAUAUGGGUGAAUCUUUCCAGAGUAUAUUAUGCAAUGGAAAUAUUUAUGAUGCAAUAGAACACCAUCUUUGAGACUACAAGUUGGUUGCUACUUCCAGAACACCAAAAAUAAUGCAUGUGGCAAUGAACUUACCAAGCAACUUAUCCCCCAGACCUCUUCCUCGGCAUUCUUCAGAUACAGCAAUUGCAGCAACUUCACCAGAUUUGUCCUCGGGAAAUGGAAAGAGAGCAGCACAUGCAAUGACUGAACCAUCUCUUUCAACAACAUAGAAUGAAUACAACGCUUCAAGAAGCUGAAGGUUGGAGAAAAGAAACAUUUUAGCACUACUAUGUACUAACUAUGAAGAGAAUGAAGCAUUCGUUAUAACAGAUUCUCAAAAUCUUAACACACCUCUUUAUCUGUUCUUCGCACUAAAACACCAGAUUCCUCUAGUGGGUAGAUAAGUUUUCUUAUGCCAGGAAGAUCUUCCUCCGUCGCCAUUCUUGUUCCUUCAUAAACAUCCCUGAAAAAAUGUGAUAGGUAGGACAUGAAUCUUGACUGUGAUAGCUUGUACAGCCUAGAUUCAAAAGACAUCUUAAUGCACAAAGAAUACCAUGGUGAAAUAUUUGCUUCAGAAACACGUUUGAUAUGUAUCCUCAUUCUUUAGCCUUGACAUAUAUUAUGGAUCAAUGCUAAACUUGCAAAAAGAUCUACUGGCUGCUGACAUGAAUAGCAACAACAUAGAAGCUGUAGUGUCUUGGGUGUGUAACACAUGGUUAUUAUUUUUUUCCUUUACCUUAUCAACCAGUCCAAGCCAGCUCACAAGUAGAUAUUUUAUUAUCAGUACAGUAAUACUCUAUACUAUGUUGAAACUGUUAGAGGCAUCUAAUUUCUCACAUGCUAGUGUUUCUUACAGGAAUCAAGAAUAAGAAAAAGAAAGAUAUUAAUGAGUUUAUGAGAUGCAUCCAAGUCAAUAGAAGGAUAAAGCAGGCAUGGGAGCAUUGGCUUGUGUACUGGACCUAGACUUUUGUGUACAAAAAUUUGAUUUGUGCAUUGUUGGCUUUCAACAUAAGCUAGGCCGAACGCCUUUCAACUAAAUAAGAAAAUGAAAAGAAAUACGUUAAGAAUACCUCGCAAUCAUUGUCCCAGCACCAUCUCUUGUAAACAAUUCUAAUAACAGUGAUCCAUCAACUGUACCAUCUAUGAUAUGAACUCUUUGAACACCACCCUAGCAUAAGGAAGACAUAAAUGUAUACAGUCAAAUCUAAGUGAUAGAGACUGCCAUGGAACUUUGCAGCUUACGCUUCAUUCGGAACAUGGUUCGAAUAUUUCACUGUUUGAAGGAACAUUUCUUGCUUUAUUGAAAGAGCAAACACAAGUAUCACACGGCAUGCCACCUUCUACUCAAACCACACUCAACCUCUAAUAUAUAGGUCGGCUUUAGAUUCCUGGAUACUACUGUACUGUAGUCCUCAACAGGGACAUCGACCCAAGCUACAGCAAAAUAGUGAUGCACUAAGAUAGGGUACUCCUUAUGUCGUUCAAUGUGCCAGCUUUUUCAGAUCUGGCAACACGUUAGGUGACACUAGUAUUGCUAAAACAGGAUUGCUGCCACACUUCAAAACAUGUGGAUCCAAUAAGACAUAGGUGCAUAGCAGCAUGACACUGUGAUACUAUAGCAAUAGUUAAAUUCAACAAGAACCACAAUGCAAAAAACAAUGUUGCUACUUUCUGGGGGACACCAUUUCAAAAAGAAAGAUAUGUUCAUCUUAUGCUCUGUAGAUAAACUAGUAGAUCUUAAAGCAGAAACAAAAUAAAAAAUGUUGUGUGGAAGGUACGCCACUUACAUGGCAUACAUAAGCAGCUGCAGCCAACUCAGAAAGAUAGCCAUUUGACCUGCUUAAUCGCUCUUCACCACCAAUAGCAAACCCUUGCUCACCAGAACAAAUACCAUUUCCAUUAUUAAAACCCAAACCGUUUCGAAAAGAAGCAGCGUACCCAUUAAGGUGCCCCUUUCCGUUCAAAGAUGGUUCAUGGUCCUCCUCAUCAACCACCUUGACAUAAUUUGCAGCAAUAUCACUUUGCUUAGCACGCUUUCUGAUCAACAUAUCAGCUUCCUCCAGAGACAUGAAAUGAAUGACUCGUCCAUUCUCAUCAAAUAUCUGACCGUCCACAACGCAGAUAAGUUUAUCCGCCUCUAUGGCUAAGGCACAUGCAGUGGCUACUUCGUAAGUGCUGAAUGUUCAAAAACAAGGAAAAUUAAUUUGUUUAGUAGGUUACCCACAAUAUAUACAAAAUUACAGAGAAAAAAAUGAUGGUGUGGUUAUUUAGCAAUUUUCAAAUAAAACAGGAAAUUCACACAUAUUUCUCAUAUAAUAUACGCAUAAUUUAGAGAGAAAAUCAAUGCAAGCAUAUAAUCAUCAAAAACUGAAAUUAAACGACUAGUAGAGAAAAUAACAUACUUGCAAUUUAGAACUUCUCCUGAGCUUGAGUAUCCCAUAUUGCUCACAACAACAAUGCUAUCACUAUCAAGCCUUUCUUUUAUCCGUGAAACAUCUAUUUUCUUAACUUCACCAGUAAAUCCGUAAUCAACACCAUGAACUACCCCUCUUCUCUGCCAAAAAAAAUUAGCUGCAUAAACUCAGUAUUGCAGGACCUCCAGCCAACUUUUGUUCAGUAGAAGAUAAGAGGUAAAAAAAUGUAGAGGAAUAAACAGAAAUAACACGCAAGGAGGUACAUAGGCACUCAAAUGCCUAAAUGCAGAACUAGAUGGAUAGGGCUCCCAGUACUAUAGCUGUCUCCAAUCUCAAAUAUUUUACUACAGUUAUAAAUAUUCACCUUAGCACCAAGGAAAUUGCCACUUGCAACAUUAUCCACAAGACCAUGCCAAUGGCCAAUAACACCAUGUCUACGGAGGUUUAACAUUGGAGGGCCAGGAGAGAGUUUUGCUUCUAUUGUUAACCUUAUUCUGCCAGCUGCCUCCAUUGCAGCUUCUAGUGAAUCAGAAUCGGUAACUCGGUACUGACCAACAUACUUAGCCUUCCUUCCUACAGCAAGUUUCAUAGGAUGAGAACAUGCAGGAACAGGAAAAUACUAGAAAUAUAGUUCGAAGAAAAAUAAAGCCUGUGUUAGAAAAUGCAAAGGACAAGAAUAGUGAAGAAACUUAUUGUCCACAUCAUCAUCGGAGUAUUUCCACCAAUCCACCUGAGUUGUUACUAAAGUCAUGCCAUGCCAAAUCAGCAUUUAGGAAAUGUGGAAGAGAAAAGAUGAGGGAAGAUGGUGAAUUCGUUACUCUAUGAUGGAAACAGCUUGGCUCCCCAAACAAGACACCAGUAACAAGCAUAUGGUCUCCUGGAGAGACCCUUGUUACUAAGAAAACUCAUCGUGUGGCUCCACAACAUUGAAUGUGGUUUUAUCUUACUAAAAGGUCUAAGUAAAAACCUAUUGGAGGGUUUGAUACUAUUGAUGAGUUCAGAUAUUCCCUCUUCGCUUUGCAAUGAGCUUAGUAACAAAUUGUUGGGGAUACUCUCACCUGCCAAUGGUCUAAUAAGUUGCUGCUUUCAUCUAAUGUGACUUGUCAAAUUCUACAUAUGUAAGCAGCAGUUUAGUCAACAUAGUCCCUGUUUCACAAUCGCUCUGCAAAUCACAUUUGGAAGUGCCACGGAAGCUUUGUGGUGGGGAGUGGGGCAGAAGUGAUGAAAUAAAUGACGUACUUCUCAAAGAGGUAGAGUUCACUAGUAAGGUAUCAUGGUGCUGUUGCAAAAUGUGUCCGACUGUGUUUCUAGUUAUCCAGCAUAGUGUGCUUCAGGAACUAAGCUAUCUUUAAGUUUUUUUAGGUACCUUUAUAUGCUGAAGGUCCCUUAAAUAUUGUGUCGUAAACUUAAAUAAAUAGAUAAACCAUAGAUGGGAAAGUAAGAACAAAUAUACAAUCGUUAGUAGCAUAAGUAUGAUCAGAUGUGAGUGACAGAAGACUGGUUUACUACAUGUGCAGAACUAACCUCUUUCUGACAAUAGUUUGUCAAUCUGGACAUGUGUUCCCGGAACAAGAACAAAGUUAAUGCCAAGACCAUGAAGUAGUGAAAUAUCCUGCAUAUGAUUGAAAAUGUAAUAUUUCCCUAAAUAGCUAGAAAAUGGAAGGAAUCCAUAAUGAUGUGAACUUUAUGACAACAAAACAUGAUAAAUCUAUGCAGCAUAACAGUAGCACCUAAGCUCAGUCACAUGAAUGAAAAAAUAAUGCCAUACUCCUGCCAGGAAAACCAGUGAUUUUUACUCCUUUUUCCUAGUAAAGUUGGGGCCAUUUAUAGUCUUGAAUCCAUGUUCGCAGAAGACCCUCAUUCCAACUAUGUACCAAGAAAAAACUAAGCUGCUUCUCGUUCUGUCCCUCAUUUCUCAUCCCCAUAAAAUUAAGUCCAACGAACCCAUACUCUUACAACUUGCAGCUGUCCAGUCUCUAGUGACUAUGGGGCUGUUUGGCUCACCCCCACACCAGCCCCGCCAAUAUCGGGCUCGCCAAAUUGUUGGCGAAGGUUUUGGCCGCCGCCGUUUCGCCAACGCGCGGGCGCUGAAUCUGAACGAACGACCAAAAAAUUGGCGUGGGCAGCAAAGACUGGCUACGAUCCAAACAGCGGCCAAUACUAGCGGUCAACGCCAAAACUUUGGUAGGGCAGCCGCGGGCUGCAAUCCAAACUAUACCUUGAUUGCUUUCUUUAGAUCAUUUGCCCAUAGAUCAAGUCCAAUGAACCAUAUGGUCCAUCCAUCUCAUACAAUCUCCAGCCGGCCAAUGGAUAAACAGUUUUGUUUGAAUCAUUUGUAAUAAAAGUAAGUUAUGUUGGAUAAUUAGAAUCGCUAUAAAACAAUUCCAUGGUUCGGCCCCCAUGACUAAAUGGAAGAAUGGCAUGCUCUUUCAUACGAACAAUGAACACGAAAACCCAAAACACUCCAGCUCAGUUCAACUUAAGAAAUCAUAGUACCUGCAAAAUGCGGUCCAAGUGUGGCCCCGACACAACCUCGCUGGAUAUAACGACCACGAAGGUGCUCCCACGAUGGCCCCGUAUGUACGGCCACGCCUCCCGGAAGAACCCGACGAACUCCUCCCCCGCGUCCACGCUGCCGCCGCCGCCGCCGCCGCCGGGAUGGCGAACCACGCAGCACCGGACGCUGCGCAGACGCCGGCGCGGCGGGGGAAGCCGGAGGCUACCGGGCGGAAGGCCCCGGGCAGUAGAACCCUGAGCCGACAGCCGCGAGACCCCGCCGGCGAGGCGCGCGGCGGCAACCAUAGAAGCCAUGUAAGCAAGUGGACCCACCUACGAACCCUAGGCCUCGUGACUGGGGAAGUGGGGAGGGAAACAGUCCGCGCUCCUGCGGUUUGCGAGUUGCGACGAGUAGGCCGUUGUUUCAGCAAGCGAGUUGGCGCGUAGUUGGAGACCAACCAGCAGAUCGUUUGGCCCUUGACACGAAACACGAGCUACCUUUCUACGGCUCAAGCCCAUUGUUACGGCGGCCCGGAUGCCAGUCUCCUGUCUUUGAGACCAACUAAUUAACGAGCCCUUCUUCGGAAGCCUCACAACGAUCAGCGUCAUUUGACGUGCUCUCAGCCGCCCGUCACGUGUCGUGCUCUGAGCAUUUCCUCCGGAUUUUAUUAUUUUUAUUUUUUCGCACACGUUUUUGGCUUUUAAAAUGUUUUAUUAUUUUUUUCGACAUUUCGGUUUUUGAUUGGUCUUUCUUAACUUUUGGAACAAAAACAACAGGAAAAACACGGUUUUUUCCUUCCACGAGAAUAUGGUUUUGCUUUCACGAGAGUCACGGCCGUGCCUUUCAAAAAGGAAAAAACACAUUUUCUUUUUUUUCCCUUCCGCGAGAGGCACGGUUGUGCUUUCGCGAGAGGCACGGCCGUGCCUCUCAGAAAACGAAAAAAGAAAACGUGUUUUUUAUUUUUUUUCUUCCGAGAGAGGCACGGUUUUGCUUUCGCGAAAGGCACAGCCGUGCCUCUCGGAAACGGGAAAAAACGUGCUUUUUGUUUUUUUUCUUUCAUGAGAUGCACGGUUUUGCUUCCGUUAGAGGCAUGGUUGUGCUUUCGUGAAAGGCACGGUCGUGCCUUCUCGGAAACGAAAAAAACGUGUUUCUUUUUUUUCUUCCGUGAGAGGCACGGUUUUGCUUUCAUGAGAGUCGCGGGCGUGUCUCUUUUGGAAAGGGAAAAAACGUGCUCCCGGUUCGGUUUUUUUGUCUGAUUUUCCGUAAAAAAAGUUCGUCAAACCUAUCAAUAUGGGGUCUAGUUUUAAAAAUCUCGACGCGAGGAAUCCAAGGGUGAAAACGGUUCGAGAUUUGGACGCAUGGUUUAAGAGAUAAAACGUUUUGAAUAAAUGAAUCUAUGAAAAAAGGGAAAACUCACGGGUUAUGACAAGUGGCGCACAUCGCAACCUAGGAAGGUGGGAGUAAUCUUUGCAACGAGUACUCCUUAACUAGUGAUUUUGAGAAAAGGAUAUAUGUCACUUCCCGCGAAAGCUUAUGUUAUUCUUUUGUAUAGCGAAAGUGGGCGCCACUAUGUCUCGCCUUCAGCGAGAAGGUAGGAGGGGAGACCGAGAUAGGCCAGCCCAGGAGCGCGGAAGGCCACAACCUCCUUUUUUAUUUUUUAACGGUUUCUGUUUCGUUUUUUGCUUUACUUUUUCUAUUUUGUUUAUACUUUAAAAUAUAUUCUAAAUAUAUAUAUUACAUAAAAACAUUUCAAAAAAAUUUGACCUAGCAAUUCAAAAAUGUUGAAUGGAAAAUGUGUACAAAAAAUUGUAUAAUUUUUUUUAUCAUGUAUUUAAAAAUGUUAAUCUAGCAUUUGAAAAUUUUCUGAACAAUAAUUUCAAAAAUGUUGACAAGCAUUUGAAAAUUGUUAAAUGUAUAUAGAAAAACUGUUGACUAGGUAUUAAGAAAUGAUAGAAUUUUUUAUAACAUAUAUCAAAAUGUUAAUCAAGCAUUUGGGAAAAUGUUGAUAAAGUAUUUGGAAAAUGUUAAAUGUGUACAAAAAUGUUGACCAUGUAUUAAAAAAUGAUGAAUUCUUUGAUCAUGUAUUUAAAAACGUUGAAAAUUUAUUUGAAAAAUGUUGAUCAAGCAUUUGAGAAAUGUUAAAGUUGUAUGAAAAAAUGUUGACCAACUAUUAAAAAAUGUUGAGUUUUUUCGGUAAUGUAUAUAAAAAAUGUUAAUCAAGCAUUUGAAAAUGUUGAACAAGUAUUUCAAAAACGUUAAUCAAGAAUUUAGAAAAUGUUAAAUGUGUAUAGAAAAAAUGUUGACAAUGUGUUAAAAAUGUUUAAUAUUGAAAUAAGAAAAUAUUAGUUAAGCAUUUGAAAAAAAAAUGUAAAUGUGCAUAGAAAAAUGUUAAUCUUGUAUUUGAAAAAUGUCGAUCAAUCAUUUAAAAUGUUGACCAUGUAUUAGAAAAUGCUAAACUUGUAUUAAAAAAUGUUAAACUUGUAUUAGGAAAACAAAUUGACAUAUACAAAAAUGUAGAAUGAAAAUCAAAAGAAACAAAUAAAAAGCAAAAAAUGAAAACAGAAAAAAAUAAACCAAGAAAGAAAAAAAUGAAGAAACAAACGUAGAAANNNNNNNNNNNNNNNNNNNNNNNNNNNNNNNNNNNNNNNNNNNNNNNNNNNNNNNNNNNNNNNNNNNNNNNNNNNNNNNNNNNNNNNNNNNNNNNNNNNNNNNNNNNNNNNNNNNNNNNNNNNNNNNNNNNNNNNNNNNNNNNNNNNNNNNNNNNNNNNNNNNNNNNNNNNNNNNNNNNNNNAACCCAGAAAGAUAAAUAAAAAAUAAAGAAGAAAACUAACAAAAGAAUACGGAACAAAAUGAAACACAGAGAAGAAAAAAUGAAAAAAAUGAAAAAAGAAAUUAAUAAAUAAAUAAAACCGAAGAAAAAACAAAAAAGAAAAAUUAAAUAAAACCCGAAUGAAAAUAGAGAAAAAAUGGUGAAAAACCAAAAGAAACCAAAACAAAAAAUACAGGAAAAAACGAGAAGAUAUAGUGCAAAACCCGACUUGUUUCGACUUAGCUAUACCAUCGCUACAACUCUGUCAGAAUCCCAGCCAAACCGAGUGGCUAGCUGUGCUCUCCCUCAAGAGAUCAGGUUAGAGUUCCCUGCUCGCUCCGUUUUCUCCUCUCCUUUUCCUUUUCUGCACGAAUGAGUCGGCCCAAGUACUGGAGACCCCUUCAGCCAGAGAACCGUAGGUCUCGCUGAAUGCGAGAUAAGUGCUCGUGAGCGAAAGCUAUGUCUAGCAUUAAGAUGAAAAGCUCCUUGCGCAAGCAACUGGACCAGCUCAUCAAUGCACUUCUGAAACAAUAGGAGGAGAGAGAGGAGCACGCGCGAGGUUGGAUCCCAAUACUUCCAGGGAGAAGUCUGACACUGCUAGCCACCCCACCCGAUUCGCAUUCAUGGCUAUUAGUUGGGGGUUUCCAUCUUGAGGCAAUUCGAGCUGGUUUUCUCAGGUUUUUGUCUUCUAUUUUUUGUUUAUUUUCUUUUUUUUCUUCUCUGGUUUUUUAUUUGUUUCAUUAAUUCUGCAUAUGUUUCUUAGGUUUUUUAUUUUCUUUUUUCAUUGGUUUAUUUUAUUUCUAUUUUUUAUUUCAAUUUUUUGGGUUUUUUUGUUUCUUUUUGUUUUCAUUCUACAUUUUUUAUAUGUCAACAACAUUUUUCUAAUACACGUUUAACAUUUUUUUAUAUGACAAAAACAUUUUUUCAAUACAAUUUUUUUAAUGUAUUGUCAUUAAUUUUUCUAUACAUAUUUUAAAUAUUUUAAAAUCCUUGAUUAACAUUUUUCAUAUUCAAGAUUAAUAUUAUUUGAACACAUGGUCAAUAUUUUCUAUACAUUCUGCUAAAUGCUUGAUUGACAGUUUUCAAAUAAAAAGAUUAACAUUUCUAAUACAUGGUCAACAUUUUUUAUACGCAUUUAACAAUUUCUAAACUCUUGGUUAACAUUAGUCAAUUACUUGUUCAACAUUUUUCCAAAUGCUUGGUUAAAAGUUUUAUAGUUUUGAUCAAAAACAUUCGUCAUUGUUUUAGUACAUGGUCUUUUAAGACGUUUAACAUUUCCCAAAUGCAUGAUUAGUAUUUUUUAAUAUUUUUUCAACAUUUUUUUCAAAUGCUUGAUUAACAUUUUUAUAUAGAUGAUAAAAAAUCCUCAUUUUUAAUACAUUGAUUAACAUUUUUUAAAUACUUGUUCAACUUUUUCCAAAUGUUUUUGUAGAGUAUUUUUUGUAUUAUAUAUUUUUAGAAUAUUUUAAAGUAUAAAAUAAGUACAAAAAUAAAGCAAAAACAAAAACAAAAAACAUAGACAAAACAGAAAAGAGGUUUUGGCCUCCCGCGUGCAUGGGCCGGUCCAUCUUGCUCACCCCUUCAGCAAGUCGGAAGCUGGACUCAUUGAAGGUGAGAUAUAGGGGUGCCCCCGCCAGGGGGCAUGUUGUCUCGCCUUUGGCAAUCCACUAACGACCCCUCAAAAGAAAUAGAAAAAUGCAAUCCGCUAAGGGGCAGGCAUAACACUGUAGCUUCUCCGCACGAAUAGUAUAUCUAUACCCUUAUAUAGUGUGUGAAUAACUUUGAAAGAUUGUCGUUGGAUGAAGCCAAUCCGACGGUGCAGAGAUGACAAAUUCGAGCACUACUGGCCGUUGGAUAUCAUCUACAUUCCACCAAAUUCUGCCACACAUGUACAAUCUAGAAGACUACAUGAUUGAAUUUAAGCAUAAUGCACAACCCUCAAAAGACAAGCACUUCUCCUUUGUUCUAGAAUCUUCCGUAUAAUUGACUAAACUUUUUUUCUAAAUGAAUUACCAUUAUUUGUUUUUUACUUUAUGCUUUACAAUUCACAAUCCCAUGAAUCUUAAUUUUUUUAUAAAACUAAUUGUUUUUGAAUGAGAUGAACUAUAAGAACUAAACGAACAUCUACAUCAUGCAUAUAUGGCUCAAAACUUACAUGCUAUAGUGUGAUAUUUAUUCAUAAUUUUGUUGUCAAAUCUCAUGCGUGCAAUGCAUGUGUGCCUUACUAGUCUCACUUAAAGUGAGAUAUCAUCUGUUUUGCCUGAAUGGUUCGCACACAUGGGCCAACCCAUUAGCGUGGUCGCUCGCUCGCUACUAGCUCAGUCAUUCGCUCGUUCAUUCUACGUGUUGGCUUCGUCAAUUUUUUCUAUCUUUUUUCCUUUUUCCUUUCCUUUUAUUUCUUCAUAGGUUUUCUUUCUUUCUUUUUUGUUUUUUCAUCAUUUUUCUUCAUUUCCUUCAAAGUUGCUAAUGGUUUUUUCCUUUCUUUUUUCUUAUUUUUAAUUGUGUUUUCUUUCUCUUCUUUGUUUUUCUGGUUUUGUUGUGUUUAUUUUUUGGGUUUAUUGGUUUUCUUCAUUAUAUUUGUACAUUUUCAUAUAUAACAAGAAAAUAUUUUAUAUACAUACUUAACAUUCCCAAAAUAUGUGAUUAACAUUUUUGACAAUUUAUAUUUUUAAUGUCUACUUUUUUCAUACAUAUCGUAUAUUUUUAUAUACAUGAUUAACAUUUUAUAGAAAAUAUAGAUAGACAUUAUUCAUUUUUUGUAGGGAUGAGAGCGAGCGGAAAGGGCCAAUACUGGGUGUUGUCACAUUUGUUUUUAUAUUUUUGCGAAAGCGGAAAUGAAUGCGGAAACACCGGAAAGAAAUACAAAAAUUAAUACUCUCAGAAAUGAAAAUGGAGCGAAUACUACACGGAAGCGGAGACAAAAGUGGAGUGUUCAUCGGAACUAAAGACCCUUUAAGCUAUAGGGAAAGAACAAGAAAACCAACAAAGUUAUUCAAUUGAUAAGGUGAUUACAAAAUAUUACUCCCUCCGUCCGGAAUUACUUGUCGCGAAAAAAUGGAUGUAUCUAGUAUUUCCGGACGGAGGGAGUAUAAUAAUAGGCUACGUCAGCGAAGGAGGCAUGGUCGAUUAGGGAUUCUGCUUGUAUGCUGCCAUGCUUGACAUGGUAGUAGUGCUAUAGACAUUGGGCUAUCUGGGCCAUUUUGCCAAGUGUGUAUGGCCUAACUAUGUUCGUUGGGCUGCAAAAUAGCCAUGCGCUCACGUUCAAAACCGAAAGCUCCAUAUUAGCGGAAAUAGAAAAUUACGUUUUCGCGGUUGUUCCACCGGAAAACAUCAUUUCGUUUCCGCAUAAAAAAUUCUGUUUCCAUUUUCAUUUUGCAAAUUUUCAUUUCCACUUCCAUUUUUCCUCUUUGUUUCCAUUUUCGUCUCGAAAAGCUGAAAGUUUCGGCUCCAUUUUUAUCCCUAUUUUUUUGUACAUCGGGAACAUUUUAUAUAUACACGUUUCACAUUUUUCAAAUACAUGAUUAGCAUAUUUUAAAAUAUUUUUUUUAUUUCUACUUUUUUCAUACACAUUUGUACAUUUUUUUCUACAACAGGAACAUUUUCUAUAUACAUGUCUAGUAUUGUCCAAAUACUGAUUCACAUUUUAAAACUUAUAUUUCUUAUGACUAUUUUUUCCAUACAUAUUGUGCUUUUCUAUACUCUCUAGGCCCACUAGGUAUUAUGGCAUCCAUUACUGUCUGCUUGGACACAACAUGAUAGGAUCACGAUGAUACCGGAAUGCGAAAACGAGUAAAGGGAACAAAAUCGGUAACGAGGAUAACUUGGUAUUGUUGUUGAGAAACGUACUAGAAAACAAAAAAACCGCACCUACGAUCACCCGAGAUCAAUAUGAAGAUGCAUCACAGGUUGGGAUCACGAUCGUUACCGCCACCGAGUUGCAACGGAAGAAGAACGUGUCGGUGUAGACCAUACUUGGAGUCCCUCGAACCGUCGAUGAACGAUCCCUCGUACUGCCCACGAAUAGUCCCUCGAACUGAAGACCGAAAGCAUGACCUCUCUACUUGGUUGUAAGCAUGCAGCCUUCACGAUCCGGCAGCGCUUCGCCGUCCAGAGCUAAUUGUCGUCGGAGAAUUAGAGGGAGAGGUUAGAACCACACAUGGCUUCUUUAUGAGGGCAAGAGGAUUAGCCAAGCUCUAAUAGUCAACUAGGACCAACUAGAGCAAGAACUAGAAGAACUAGAGAAAGCUCCUAAACUUGUAAGUCCAGAAGAGCAAAAUCCUCAUGUAUAUAUAGGUUGGAGGGGAAGGAGAGGGCAACCACCAAGGGGGAAAGUUCCCCCCUUGGUGCAUCGGCCUAGGAGGGGGAGGAGGAUUCCUCCCCCUUGUCCAAUUUGGCCUCCUUCCUUAGGGAAGGAGGCACUUUCCCACUUGGGGUCUUUUUGGCCCAAAUUACCUUCCACCUCUUGGCCUUUUAGGCCCGUUGAUAUUUAAAUUAAAUAUAAAAUGCUCUAAAUACUUCUAUACCAUUAUAUAUAUAUAUAUAUAUAUAUAUAUAUAUAUAUAUAUAUAUAGGUAAAACUGUGUCUACCAUAGCUUGCCACAGAACUAGUUAAGGGUCGCUAAACUUGUAAAUAUGAAAUAAAUAUGGGAGCUUCUCUCUAAUGUAAUAAGAUGAUCCAACGGAGGGAUUGUCAAAGUAUGCAUCUAUGUGUCCUCGGCAAAAAUAAUAAGCAUUUCAGCUCACUGCGACAUAAAUAUAUACUGAACUAUUUGUUUUUUUUGUCCAGGGCACAUACAGUCGUAUUUUAUUAAUCCCUCCGUUGGAUCAUGUUAUAUUAUAGGUGUGUUGGUUCAGUAUUUUUUUUCAAAAUUUUUAAGAACUUUUGCACCGCUGAAACCCUUAACUAAUUCUGUGGCAAGCACUUGUAGAAAAUCCUACUCCUAUAUAUACUAGUUAAAUGCCCGUGCGUUGCCACGGACAUACGAAGUAUGAUGUGAAAAGAUUACUCGACAAAGUCAUAGCAUGGACUUGGAUAUUUUAAAUGAGUGCUUUUUAUGGAAUAUAUUUCGACAAAAGAACAAUGUCAAAGGUAAUUCAAAAUCUAUGAACAUGGACAAACUUGUUUUUAAAUGUAGAUAAUAACUAAAUCAUCCGUGAAAUUAGUACAUCCCUUAAAACACCAUAGAUACAAACAAACGUGACGAAACAGUCAUCUACAUAGUAGAUACAAACCAAGUACGUGAUAACUACACUUGCAAAUUGAAACACACAAUCAUGCGUAAUAGACAUAACCAAUGUCUACUAUCUGUACUACAUGCGGCGAGCUUUCUUGAUAAUUAUUUUAUUUUUCACAUGGAAAAAUUUAUGUAUCAUAAAAACUAAACAUAAACAUCACUCGAAGAAAGACAAGAUAGUAACUUGGAAUAAAUAAAAAGAAAAUUGCUCCAGUAGAAGCAUAUGCAGAGCGAUACGUACAAUCAUCUAUAUAAACUGCUUGCUGAUAAUUAAGCGCAAACCAGGCCGUGGCCGCCUGGUCCGCUCGAUUGUCAGGCAACGACAUAUCCCAUGUUCGAAGUCCCUGUACGCUGACUUCCUGGUAUUUUUUGCAAGUAUUAAUUAAAAUCAAGGGGUAUAUUUUGCGAGAAUUAAUUAAAAUCCAGAGGCAUUCCUGUAAAAUACAACAUGCAUAGCUCACAACGCGCGUAGGCAACCACUGACAUGUGGCCCAGCGACAGACUGGAAUGCCACGCGGGAACUCGAUACGGCGGUAUACGUCCAGAAGCACCGUAGACAAGUUACGACAUCACUUUUGUCAAGUUUAGGCACCAAACUAACCGCGCCGGACAAGUUAGGAUACCUGUAGUGUAUUUAACUCUAUCAAUUAUCAUUAGUCAAUUCUAUAUAUCAAGAUUAUCUCUGUGUUAGUAAGUAUUAUACGCCUGAAUGCAUACCUACGAAAGUGUUUUUUGGACAUCUCUGGACUUCCUGGAAUUCAUAUAUACAACUAUGAUUUAAAUAGAGGUAUGAUUUUUUUUUUCAGUGAGCAGUAUCAUAAUUCAUAUGCAACAUGCAAAAUAAAAUGUUAAAAAGCCUACAUCUAAGAUUUUUGAUAGCCCUGACAACCGUCUAAAUACCUCAGUUCUAUUCCAUUGACCCAAAAUAAAUGUCUCAAUUUUAUACUUCCUCCAUCCGAAAAUACUUAUCUUCAAAAUGAAUAAAAAGAGAUGCAUCUAGAACUAAAAUAAGUCUAGAUAAAUCCUCUUUUAUUCAUUUUGAUGACAAGUAUUUCCGAACGGAGAGAGUGCUAACUUUAAUACAAAAUUGUACUAAGAUUGGACAUUUAUUUUGGGACGAUGUGAGUAUAUGCUACUCCAAUAUAUAUAAAAUAUAGAGCCUUGCGACAAAAAACUGGAGUAUUCUACAUCGGUGACUCUCAGUCUCACUUUCUUCUCACGGCUCACCCCUUUCCCCUUCAGCUAGCCACCCAGCUCCCCUCAUCCUCUCACGGCGCGCAUCCGCACACCGUGUGGUGCGAGGCACCCNNNNNNNNNNNNNNNNNNNNNNNNNNNNNNNNNNNNNNNNNNNNNNNNNNNNNNNNNNNNNNNNNNNNNNNNNNNNNNNNNNNNNNNNNNNNNNNNNNNNNNNNNNNNNNNNNNNNNNNNNNNNNNNNNNNNNNNNNNNNNNNNNNNNNNNNNNNNNNNNNNNNNNNNNNNNNNNNNNNNNNNNNNNNNNNNNNNNNNNNNNNNNNNNNNNNNNNNNNNNNNNNNNNNNNNNNNNNNNNNNNNNNNNNNNNNNNNNNNNNNNNNNNNNNNNNNNNNNNNNNNNNNNNNNNNNNNNNNNNNNNNNNNCACCAUCCCUACCGCUUGCUGCGCCGUCGCGAGCCUCCCACACCCGCCCCCAUCACUCCCUGAUGUUCGGCGAGAUCUGGGGGGCAGCGCUCUCGCGGACGCGCGCGCAGUCUGGGCGGCGGCAUCCACCGCGCGGCGCCCCUGCCCCGCGUCCCCCACCCCGCGCCGCUCCGCUGCGAUGGUGCCACCGGUCGGAAUCUUCUGGUGGCAACGCCCGGCGACAGGCGCACGCCGUGCAGCGCGAGGAGACCCUGCAGCAAGCCGUGCUCGCCCGGAUGGGCGGAGAUCGAGCAGGAGUGGAUUCCGUGGUGCACGACGACGCCGACGGCUUCUCUCCGCCACCGAGCUCUGCUCCCCUCCCUCUGCGUCAGAAUCAAGGUGCCCACGGAUCUUCUUACCUUGUCACUGUCGGCUCCCCCCUCUCCCUCCACGUUCUGCAUUGGUAGCUGUGUUGGAUGUACACAGUUUGAACGCUUGCUAGAUGAUUAGUAAUAUGUAUACGGUUAGGAUUAAGUUGUUUAUUUUGUGAGAUGAGGAUACAACUAUUUCUCGGGGUUGUUUGGAUUCAGAAUUCUAGCCAAUUAUGCUUCCAUAAACUCGUUUGAAGGUCUAACAACCUGAAAUUAGUUAGCGUAAAAAAGUAUAGUUUUUUUAGGAGCAGAACAAGUAAAACUUUUUUUUGAAUAUUCUCAAGAUUUGAAGACAAUUAGACACACUGAACUGGUUCCUAGUUCCUACAUCAGGACUACUACCAAAUGACGAACUAAAAUGCCAUGGUAGCAUCAGCCUUAUUAUUCUUACUCUGUGGGAUUUUUCACCGGUGCAUGCAACUACACCAGACCCUGGCAACUGCAGCAUUCGCACUUGACCAAAGAAGCUCCGCUUUUUUCACGCGGAGAACAAACCAUAUGGCUCGCCCCAACCAUGGUGCAAGUUCAUCUGAACAUGAUCAUGCCGCUCGCAAAGUGGAGUACAAGCGCACGACGACGUUUACUCCAAUGGUCACUGCAAAGAUGAUGGCGAGAAUGGCCAUUGAAGCAGCUCUACGAUCCAUGGUCACCACGGCUACACCCUUUGCUGCUGCCUUCUUGCUGCCGCCAUCUUGUCCAAGCUUCAUCCCUGUCUCAUUCCACCCCGUGUUCGCUGGUCUCUUCUUCUCUGCUGGUUUAAACAGAGCUGGCAGUGAAGGACAUGCGGGUGAGUUGAUGGGCGCGACCCGCUCUUGUGCAGGCGGUUUCUGCUUCGACACAUUCUCCACCGUUGCUGUUUCGGUCAUGGUAUCCACUUUCAGUUGCUCUGAGAUCUGUGACUGAUGCGCUGUCAUCUGUGUUGAUGAGGUCUGUUGAUCACCGCCAUGGCCGUGCCCGAUAUGUUCUUCAUGGGUGAUCUCCGGGCUAUUGAUGGGAAGAAAGCUUUCAUCGGAAUUCUUCACACCUUCGGUGGCAUUUGGUGUGACCUCAUUCUCGACGCAGCUCUUCACUGAAUUUUGGUCAGGAUUCUUCAUAUCUUCACUGUCCGGAUCAUUAAUGAUCUCGGCACUUUCCUGGCUUGCGUUUGGAUCCAAAUUAUCUGUAGGUUUGCUAUCCAAUUCAUCAGCAAGAAUUUCAUCCACCUGCUCCUGAAUCUCUUGAAGCUCCUCUACUUCCUUACCAUCGAACCCAUCAGCUUCAACCUCUCUAACCUCCCUGCCCAGAUUCUCAUCAGAUUGAUCAGACUUCUGCUGCUCCUUCUCCACGACCCCGCCAUCCAGAACGUCGUCCUCCUUGCCGCGGCGGUCCUUCUUGGCGCCCUUUCCGUCACCGUGGCGCCGCCACGCGACGACGGCGGCACCGGCGAUCGCGCCCCCGACGAGGAGCAGUGCCCCGACGCCCUGCGGCGUGCCGACGCGCGCGCACACGCGGGUCCUCAUGGCGCCGCCGCGCCUCGCCACCUCCUCUCGCGAUUCUUGCGCGGUGCAAAGAUCAGAACAAGUAAAACUUGGUUUUAGUACAACAGGAAAAGUGGGUUUUAGUAGUUUUUCUAUAAACCAUUUUAGUCCUUCCUAUUCAGAAAGGCAUGGCUUGAAACUUGCAAAAAAAAAA